CGUGUCGUGAGAUGUUGGGUUAAGUCCCGCAACGAGCGCAACCCUCGACCUUAGUUGCCAGCAUUCAGUUGGGCACUCUAAGGUGACUGCCGGCUAAAAGUCGGAGGAAGGUGGGGAUGACGUCAAAUCAUCAUGCCCCUUAUGACCUGGGCUACACACGUGCUACAAUGGGCGGUACAAAGGGUCGCGAACCCGCGAGGGGGAGCCAAUCCCAAAAAGCCGCUCUCAGUUCGGAUUGCAGGCUGCAACUCGCCUGCAUGAAGCCGGAAUCGCUAGUAAUCGCGGAUCAGCAUGCCGCGGUGAAUACGUUCCCGGGCCUU
rnacentral:rRNA from 1 species